GUCAGGCUAGGGCUGGGGUUGCUGCUUCUGGCACUGCUCCUACCCACGCAGAUUUAUUGCAACCAAACAUCGGUUGCACCAUUUUCCGGGAACCAGAGUAUCUCUGCUGCCCCAAAUCCAACUAAUGCUACCACCAGAUCUGGGUGUAGCUCCCUGCAGUCCACAGCCGGUCUCCUGGCCCUCUCUCUCUCUCUCCUACAUCUCUACUGUUAGAGACUCAGGCCAAGAAACGUCUCUACUUCCCCAUCUAGACCCACCCCGAAUGGCAACCACAAGUCCAAUAAACCUACCCGGGAACAAGGAGACCUCACAGACCCGAAGCUACUGUGUGUGUGAAUGAACACUCCCCUUGCCUCAUACCCGAAUGCUGUACAUCUAUUUGAUUGUAUAUUGUGUUUGUGUAUUUAUGCUUUGAUUCAUAGUAACUUCUCAUGUUAUGGAAUUGAUUUGCAUUGAACACAAACUGUAAAUAAAAGAAAGAAAUGGCUGAAA
rnacentral:lncRNA from 1 species